rnacentral:rRNA from 1 species
UACGGAAGGGGGCUAGCGUUGCUCGGAAUCACUGGGCGUAAAGCGCACGUAGGCGGACUCUUAAGUCGGUGGUGAAAUCCUGGAGCUCAACUCCAGAACUGCCUUCGAUACUGAGAGUCUCGAGUCCGGGAGAGGUGAGUGGAACUGCGAGUGUAGAGGUGAAAUUCGUAGAUAUUCGCAAGAACACCAGUGGCGAAGGCGGCUCACUGGCCCGGUACUGACGCUGAGGUGCGAAAGCGUGGGGAGCAAACAGG